UAAAGAUGAGAAGAGUUUUUGCUUAUAAUAGAAUCAUUAAUAUGGUUGUGGUUGUGGCGAUCAAUGGCGGUAUGAUAACCCCUGUGCUCUAGGCUGCUGACAAGUUGGAUCUUUAUCUGCUAUCUUAGAAGUGGAAGGAGCUUGUGGAGAAAGCACGAUCUAAGAAACUAUAGCCCACGAGUACAACUCGGAACAUGGAUCUUGCUGAACGGUUGUUGACAAGAAAGUCUACUUACAAUCUUGAUAUGCUUAUUCGAUAGAGGGUCUGGCAUUAGAUAUCCAAAGUUCUUUGAUGCAUUAAGAGAUUUGGAUGACCGUCUCACAAUGGUGCACCUGUUUGCUGUCUUACCUGCCAUUGAAUGAGAAAAUAUCCAAGCAGAAAGAAUCCACAACUAUAGAGGGGAUGGUCGGAUGGAAUCUCCGGUAGUAAGGCCACUCGGUGUGGGUUCGGCUUGGCCCAUCCUGGACCGUCGCCGGGCCUCAACGCCAUCCCGGGUGGUCCAUCGUCGUCCAAUUCGUCUAGGUUGGGACGCUGGAGACGGUCACAAAAGGACAAAAAAUUCAUCCGUUUGACAACAACGGCUAUUAUUUAAAA